CAUGCAGGCGGUUACAUAAGUCAGGUGUGAAAUCCUCCCGCUUAACGUGGGCAUUGCAUUUGAAACUAUGUAGCUAGAGUUCUGUAGAGGGGGGUAGAAUUCCAGGUGUAGCGGUGAAAUGCGUAGAGAUCUGGAGGAACACCGAUGGCGAAGGCAAUCCCCUGGACCUGUACUGACGCUCAUGCACGAAAGCGUGGGGAGCAAACAGGAUUAGAUACCCCGGUA
rnacentral:rRNA from 1 species